rnacentral:tRNA from 1 species
UCCCCAGUGGCGCAAUUGGUUAGGGCACGGUACUUAUAAGCAGUACUUGUGAGUGAUGCCGGGGUUGUGAGUUCGAGCCUCACCUGGGGAA